rnacentral:lncRNA from 1 species
GCCUCUGUGUCUCCACAGUGGCCAGAGGGGAGCCUGCCUGACUGAUGAGCAAGGCUCCACUUUGUCACCAAGGCAGAGAAGGGGCCCGGCUCCCUGAUCUGAUCGUGGACACUGCAGUCCCCAGAUGGCUUAUCCCGUUAAGCUAAGCCCUCGGCCAUCCCUCCAGCUUUAGGAAGAAAAGCGGUUCUGGCCCAAGCCAGACUGAGCUUCCUGGGGUCUUCUCUGGCCCAGCCUUUGACUGAAGCUGGUCUGGAGACAGGGGCGUUAGAGAAGUGACUCAUAGAUGGCCUAAAUAAGCGGGGCCACUCAAGGACCCAGGACAGGGGGAAGAGGGCCAACCCAUCUGGACCGCAGGCAAACCCCAUGGCCUUUGAGAGAAGAGAGAAGAGGACCCGGUGAAGUAGGCUCCGAGGGCCUCAGCCCAGCAGGAGCGCAGGGAGCUGCACCAGGAACUCACAGAGGAUCAGGGAGAAUUCUGAGAACAUGCUACUGUGGUGCUGCCUAGAGAGGAAGGAUAAAUGAUGACAAGUACAUCUCUGAGUAACGUAUGGGCACUUGUUCAUGAAAACUGUUUUUCUGAAAGCUUGUGAAGGUCUUGAAAUACUCGCUAUCAGUUGAGGACAAACAUUUACACCCUCCUUCCACAGGGAGUUCAAGCAGGCUGGAUGGGUCCAUCUAUGGAUGAUCUUCCCCAGCCCCUUCCUCUUCCCAGCUCAUCCCUGGCUCUCUGUGUGAACAGGUCUCAUCAGUGGAAUGUGGUUGAUGAAGUGAGGUCUUCAAUUUUCUCAUCUACUGUGUGGUCAUGUUAUUUUCCUCAUCUGAGGCUUAAAAACUCACCUGCAUGCAGCACAUGACAGCUUAAAAUCUCUUGUGAACAAAACAGUAACAAAGACACCCACCAGCGUUGAGCAUCCCGUGUUGAUGACAGCGACCACCAGGGGUCAACGUCCUCUUCACAAUCCUGUGUCAGAGCAUCACUUGACUGAUUUCAUUAGCAACUUCCCAGGAGAAUCAGCUUACAAAAUACUUGUCCCAUUUUCCAUGCAGAUGUAACCCAUCUAUUUUACUGAAGAAAUGGGAAGAGCUGAAUGCUGAAUACACUGAAUGUCUGCAGGUUGUGCAAGUUUGUGACUUUAUCACUUUCUAAUUUCUGAUCUGUGUGGACCACUCUACAGAUUUUUCUCACUGGUGUGAUCAGCCUUCUGGAUGUCAAAUAUAAUAGACUUUCAAUAAUAUAAAAGUCAACACAAGCUCCUCAUGGUUUCAGUGCUCAGUGAUGACUCUAAACUUACACAAUGUGUUUCUUUAUUAGUUUUGUUUUCUGGUAUCUCUACUCGGCAUCUUCACCACACCCAUUUUAUGUUUCUUAUACAGGUAAUUGAUAAUUUUAAAAUUUAUUGGUGCUUACUUUAAUUAAAUAAGCAGACAGUAUCUUAGAAUUUAAAAAAAAUGUGCAGUAAAAGGAAAUGCAAUAAAUUUUAAUGUAAGGAAACCAGCAGCUGAAAGCAAGGGAAAUCUCUUCUGCUGCAUAGGAGGGUAUGGAGACCUCAUAAUACGAUGAUUUUCUGCAGUUUAAUCAUUAUUGCCACACAAGUGAUAGCAUCCUCUCUCUUUAUAUCAGCACAUUCCCUAACGUACAAUAAAGGCUGAGCACAGAUACCGCCAACCAGACUGACCAGCACCUCUCACCGAGUGCCUGAGCUGAUAGUGAUAGAUAUCACAUUUGUCUAACAAAAUCAUUACACCCUGUAAGGAUACCCACCAGUCAUAAGGAGACAAUUUAAAAAAUUUAGUCAAAGCCCAAACCUGAUAGGUAGUCAUUUAUACUUAGAAGAAUUAACUCUUAUCUUCACAUGUAUUUUUCUUAAUCAUAGAGAAGCUACUAGAGUCACUGUCCAAGUUACUGAAUAUCUUAUUCCUAGAAUGAGACACUGCACAAUGUGUUCUGACACGAGGGGAUGUAGAUAUAGUUAAGGGACAGGAGAUGUGAUCACGGGAACAAGAGUCUGUGAUCCAGCAGUUCUUUCUCCCUCACAGUUGACCAGAAACAAGGCCCCAGCAGAACAAUGGAAACAUUGACUUAGGUCUCCACAGUCUGAUGUGAGAUAAACAGCAGGUAGUUUAUGCUUCCGUUUUAUAGUAGGAAAUUUAAUAAAGAAGGGCCAUUUUGGGGAUAAUACUAUUCUCUAGGAUGCUUAAAUGCCCCCAAACAGAGAGCACUACAGUGUCCCAUGGCCAGGAGCUACAAUACCUGGGUCUAGAAAGCAGUGGACAGAAAUAUCGGUUUCUCUUGCCACAUGUAUGAUGAAAAUUUGAAGAAUGUUUCUUUCCUUCUCCAUAAUCAUAGGCUGCGAUGGACUGGAGGUCCUGGUACAUAAGAAUAAAUGUGUCUCCAGUAGGAACAGAAUUAGUCCCAUAAAAUAAUUGUGCUGCCGUGGUUCUCAUACUGUUGGAACAGCUGACCAAGAAAGUGUUGUAACAGCUGCAGUGUUUAUUGAUUCCUAUCAUAUUUGGGGCUACAUUCGCAGCUACCAAGGGAAAGAGAGAGAAGUAAUUCUGGCCUAGAUAGAGUCUAUAGAUUUUUUUUUUCUUUCCUUCAAACUGAGGUUUAAAAAAAUCACAUCAACUAAAAUGCAGAUGAUGAUCAAAUGAUCAAGGACAACAGCCAUUAAAUGUUUCAGGUGUGUUUUAACCCAAAGUCGCACAACAUGUGAGAACAUGAGCUCUGGAGUCGGGAGAAUCUCUGAAGAGAAUCUAGAAGGUGGGUGGGAGGAAACAGUGAUUCACGUCUAAGGAAAUUGCAGGGCUACCUCCUGUAGGGGAAAGGAAAGCCUGAGCCUCUCCUACAGUGUGCUGUCUAAAAAUUUUUGGCUGACUUACUGUAUUCUUCAACACCAAAUUUUUUUAGUUCUCUUUUAAAUUUUUUUAUCUCUUAAAAUUCUCACAGUGUUCUUGCAUGCUGCCACUAGCUUAUUAAACAAGAUUGUAAUAUUUAAAUUUUCUGCCAAGAAAUCCAUAUGCUUUUAUAUUCAUUGAUGUCAGUUUCUGGACCUUUAUGUUGUCCCUCUGUUUGGACCAUAUUUCCCCAUUUCUUCAUUUUCCUUGAUGGUCUUUGCUGCCAUCUACUCAUCAAAAAAAACAGCUCUUUGUUCAUCAUAACAAAGAGCCAUACUCUUCCAAGCCUAGGCCCUUAGAGAAAACCCUCACCAAUCACCCCAUCAGUGAUUGUGGAUCUCUCAAAAACUUCAUAAUAACUUCAUAAUAUUCAAACUUCUGUCUUUGUUCUUAGUGGCCCCCAGGUUUUAGAGCAUGUUGGGUUGUGGCAGGACUCCUAAGUAGGGGAGGUAGAAACUAUUUACUCAAGCAGCCUCUUGAACAGGUACACCAUUCAAUACAGUUUUAUUAUUGAGGUAUGAUUCAUCAGAAUAAUGUCAGUUCAAGCGCCUCUCAACCAGUUGUCUAGCAUUGAAAUGUUAGAAUUUAUUAUUUGGAUCUGUCUGUCAUUUAUCUUUUGAAUCUUAGGUAAAAUUACAAACUGGUAUAAAACUGCCUAUUUGGCAAAUGAUCUGCUGCAGAAUUUUCAUCUUCUAUGUAUCUCUGUUUGCACUUAAA